AGUGGGGAAUUUUGGACAAUGGGCGCAAGCCUGAUCCAGCAAUGCCGCGUGAGUGAAGAAGGCCUUCGGGUUGUAAAGCUCUUUUGUCAGGGAAGAAACGGUACGGGCUAAUAUCCCGUGCUAAUGACGGUACCUGAAGAAUAAGCACCGGCUAACUACGUGCCAGCAGCCGCGGUAAUACGUAGGGUGCAAGCGUUAAUCGGAAUUACUGGGCGUAAAGCGUGCGCAGGCGGUUUUGUAAGUCUGUCGUGAAAUCCCCGGGCUUAACCUGGGAAUUGCGAUGGAGACUGCAAGGCUAGAAUCUGGCAGAGGGGGGUAGAAUUCCACGUGUAGCAGUGAAAUGCGUAGAGAUGUGGAGGAACACCGAUGGCGAAGGCAGCCCCCUGGGUCAAGAUUGACGCUCAUGCACGAAAGCGUGGGGAGCAAA
rnacentral:rRNA from 1 species